GGUUUCGCUCAUUACGGAGACCGUGCAUCUGGCAACAGAGGCAGCGCGACAGUAAAGAAUGCUGACCGUAUGCAAGUCAGUCCUGCUGGCAACACGAUCGAAUUGCGGGAACGUCCUAAAGCUCAACCUACUCCCUGCCCCUGAAAGGGGGCAGCACAGUCAUAAUGGCGGAGAUGUACAAUGGAUAAUCCGCAGCGAAGACCCUACAGCGCAAGCCACGGGUAUCGUUCACAGACUAAGUGAUUGUGGGUAGCGUGCUACUUAAGAUAUAGUCGGGCCCUGACCGAAAGGACAGGGAAAAACGUCCGUAGGUGAACCUGCGGAAGGAUCAUUA
rnacentral:ncRNA from 1 species